rnacentral:rRNA from 1 species
AGAGUCUGAUCAUGGCUCAGAUUGAACGCUAGUCGGCAUGCUUUACACUUGCAAGUCGAACGGCAGCACGGGGGCAACCCUAGUGGCGAGUGGCGAACGGGUGAGUAUUACAUCGGGUACGUGUCCUUGAGUGGGGGAUAACCUCGAGAAAUCGAGGCUAAUACCGCAUAAGCUCUGAGGAGGAAAGCGGGGGAUUCGCAAGGACCUCGCGCUGUUGGAGCAGCCGAUGUCGGAUUAGCUUGUUGGUGAGGUAAAAGCUCACCAAGGCGACGAUCCGUAGCUGGUCUGAGAGGAUGAUCAGCCACACUGUAAGUGAGACACGGUCCAGACUCCUACGGGAGGCAGCAGUGGGGAAUUUUGGACAAUGGGGGCAACCCUGAUCCAGCCAUGCCGCGUGCGGGAAGAAGGCCUUCGGGUUGUAAACCGCUUUCGGCCGGAACGAAAUGGUUAGGGCUAAUACCCCUGACUGAUGACGGUACCGGAAGAAGAAGCACCGGCUAAUUACGUGCCAGCAGCCGCGGUAAUACGUAGGGUGCGAGCGUUAAUCGGAAUUACUGGGCGUAAAGCGUGCGCAGGCGGCUUUUUAAGACAGGUGUGAAAUCCCCGGGCUUAACCUGGGAAUUGCGCUUGUGACUUGAAGGCUAGAGUGCGGCAGAGGGGGAUGGAAUUCCUGGUGUAGCAGUGAAAUGGGUAGAUAUCAGGAGGAACACCGAUGGGGAAGGCAGUCCCCUGGGUCAGCACUGACGUUCAGGCACGAAAGCGUGGGGAGCAAACAGGAUUAGAUACCCUGGUAGUCCACGCCCUAAACGAUGUCAACUAGUUGUUGGGGAAGGAGACUUCCUUAGUAACGAAGCUAACGCGUGAAGUUGACCGCCUGGGGAGUACGGCCGCAAGGUUAAAACUCAAAUGAAUUGACGGG